GACGAACGCUGGCGGCGUGCUUAACACAUGCAAGUCGAACGGAAAGGCCCUGCUUGCUGGGUACUCGAGUGGCGAACGGGUGAGUAACACGUGGGUGAUCUGCCCUGCACUUCGGGAUAAGCCUGGGAAACUGGGUCUAAUACCGGAUAUGACCUUCCAUGUAGUGUGGGGGGUGGAAAGAUUUAUCGGUGUGGGAUGAGCCCGCGGCCUAUCAGCUUGUUGGUGGGGUCAUGGCCUACCAAGGCGUCGACGGGUAGCCGGCCUGGGAGGGUGGACGGCCACAUUGGGACUGAGAUACGGCCCAGACUCCUACAGGAGGCAGCAGUGGGGAAUAUUGCACAAUGGGCGGAAGCCUGAUGCAGCGACGCCGCGUGGGGGAUGACGGCCUUCGGGUUGUAAACCGCUUUCGGCAGGGACGAAGCUUCGGUGACGGUACCUGUAGAAGAAGCACCGGCUAACUACGUG
rnacentral:rRNA from 1 species